CGCCACGCCACAUGUCCCCCGCGUGGCCUGUUAGAGAUAUAAUAUUUGAGAGUUAGAAAUAAAUAUAUAUAUUAGAGAUAAAAAUAGGUUUAAACAAUUUGCCUUGUACUCCAAGCCAAUCCGUCUCUCGUAUACUCUAUAUAAUCCCUCAUGAGGGUCAACACAAUAGAACACAGUUUUGCAAAAAGAAAACACAAUAGAACAAAAAUAUUCAACCAUCCUAUUUAGAUACAUUAUAACUGAGCAUUUUUCCUGCCUCUCAGGCCAUUAGCGUUUUCAACCGUCAGAUCAUCCGUUUGAUGCAUUUUUUGCUAUUGGAUUUCCUCUUAAUCCCGCUUUGGCUGGCUACGUUCGCUACAAUUGAGAGGUUUCCUUGCUGGGCCGCUAUUCUGGUGACAAUUUUGGGUGUCUGGUAUAAAAUUGGGCCUAAUGGGCUUGUACGAGUUUCCGCUUGUGCAUCCUUGAAAAAAAAUACACCACCGUCCUUUCUUCUCCAUCGUGUGGCGGCUGACGAGACCUAGGUGACGCCGCCGCCACCAUGUUCUCCGUCUCGCAGCUCCUCUCGCCGUCGUCUUUCCGCGCUAGAUUCAUUUCGGUACCGAUCUAACUCCACUGCGAAUCUUCGAUUCUCCUGCGACCCUUGACUGCAUCUUCUUCAACCUCGACUCCCUGCUGCAACCCUCCCAGCGACGUCGUCUCGCCGCCCUCGGCCUCACCAUCAUCUGAUGCAGGGGAGUGAUACCGCCACCUCCAUCUCCCCUUUCCUUGCCUCUAAACCAAACUGAGAAGAAACUCUUCUCUUCCCCUCUCGCAGGGCAUCCUCUCUUACCCUCCCGUGGCUCCUCGUCCUUCUCCCAUGGCCACCAAAUUCUGCAAGGAUUUUUUAUUCAUCUUGUUCUUUGUCACCAGAUCGCCAGCAAGGUCAUAGUCCGUGAUUUGUUCGUCUCGCCCUAGAGAUGGUGGAGGUGGAGGAGAAGUAGUCUGAGCGAGGGCUCAAGGAGGUGGAGGAAGAGAUGGUGGCUGGCACCGCUCCUUCGGCCAUGAAAAUGUGGGCACUCCGGUUCAUGCAUAUCGACUCACUCGUGGGGUCGGUGAGUCACUAUUGCCCAAGAUCAAGCGGUGGAUUGUGCUCACGAGCAAAAGCAGUCACAUCAUCAUCUUCAGGGCUAAGAUCGACGUGCUCCUGCCCUUUAGGCCCUUUGCCAUCACGCUCUACUACCUCUCCAGAAACCACAAUAAUCACACUUAUAAAUUAAUUUUCAGUAUUGAUCAGAAUUGUACAGUAUUACUUGCCCUUUUAUGUUUAAUUAUUUUUCCUAUUUAGUGUUACUUUUGAAUCUUUCAUAGCACAAGCAUCCGUUUCUUAUGCAUUCUAUGUCACGUUUAGUCGCAGGAGCAAGACUGACAUGUAGUGCCUUCUAUAUCCUCAAUUUUCAAUCUUCAAAUGCUUCAUAUUAAGCACAUGUACUCAAACAUGUAAUUAUGUUUUUCCAGCAAUUGUGCUUUAUGCUAACAUAAUUUGAAAUAAAUCCCUGUGUUCUAGGAGGACAAAUUCGAGCUCCAUAUUACUUGGUCUGCUGCUUCUUCUGGGUUGUUUUCUACCUUCCAGUAGAUUCUAUGAAGCUCCAAUGGCUAACAAACAGAUUAGUGCUCGUGCACUAUUAUGCCUCAAGUUAAUUAUCUUGCGACGCAAUUUCAUAUUUUAUGGUCUGAUUGCUCUAGGUGGAACUGACCGCUCUACUGCAGUGUGAUUGCUCUAGAUGGAACUGACUGCUCUAUUGCGCGACAUUGCUAGGUCGCCAGUCCGUUCUUGAUUUCGAUUACGGCCAUGAUAUUGUGAUAUUACCCAUGAACUGGAGAAUGGAGUGAAAACAAUUGGUCUACUGAUGAACUUGACAGUUCGUAUUUUGUAUGGCAAAUGCAUCGAAUUUCAGUGUCAGAGUCUGCCUUUUGGUAUGUCCUUGUGGCAAAAAAAUACUUCUGUAAAGUUGUAGUCACAACUAUAAUUAUCCGAGGAAGUGUUCUAAAAGGAGAUGUCUUGCACUACUGCUGCUUGGUACCAGACGUGAACAACUACAUUAGGAGUUCGCUGCAUGGUUGGAGGAAGGUAGUUAAUGUCACUAGAGAUAAUAAACCAUUUGGAUUCCAAUACCAUACCAUGUUGAUCUACACUUGGUGUGCUUUCUCUCCUAUUUAUGCUUUGGUUUCAGUGGUUCUAAGGCUGGCACAUAAUAAUUGAGAAAAGUAGCACAGUGUUUUUUUGGCUAUUUGCUAUCAAUGGCAUGUUGCAGUUUACCAUGGACCAUGCUAAACGUGCAUCUAUCCAAGGAAUACUGUACCUUAUGGGAUUUCUCAUAUAUUUGUAUAUUUAUUGUAUUUUAUU